GAUGAACGCUGGCGGCGUGCCUAAUACAUGCAAGUCGAGCGAACAGACGAGGAGCUUGCUCCUCUGACGUUAGCGGCGGACGGGUGAGUAACACGUGGAUAACCUACCUAUAAGACUGGGAUAACUUCGGGAAACCGGAGCUAAUACCGGAUAAUAUAUUGAACCGCAUGGUUCAAUAGUGAAAGACGGUUUUGCUGUCACUUAUAGAUGGAUCCGCGCCGCAUUAGCUAGUUGGUAAGGUAACGGCUUACCAAGGCAACGAUGCGUAGCCGACCUGAGAGGGUGCUAGGCCCCACUGGACCUGCGACACGGUCCAGACUCCUACGGGAGGCAGCAGUAGGCAAUCUUCCGCAAUGGGCGAAAGCUUGACGGAGCAACGCCGCGUGAGUGAUGAAGGUCUUCGGAUCGUAAAACUCUGUUAUUAGGGAAGACCAAAUGUGUAAGUAACUAUGCACGUCUUGACGGUACCUAAUCAGAAAGCCACGGCUAACUACGUG
rnacentral:rRNA from 1 species